CGGCCUCCUCGCCCCGCGGCUAUAUAAGCCAGCCCCGACCCCUCCCGAGCUCACCACUCGACCUCAUGCCCUCCACUACCCCUCCCCAGCCAGUCAAACGAUCUCGAGGAGCUCUCGGUCGCCAUCAUUGCCGCCAUGGCCGCCGCGGCCUCCCUCCUAAAUUAGCGCGAAGCCGGCCCCCUCCCUCCCUCAUUCCUUCACCAGAGAACUCUCCUCGGGCCCCUGAUCCUCCCCACCUACUUGCCCCUCGACGGAGUGCCCCGCAGCCCCAAAGCCGAACCCCACCCGAAGCCAUCUCCGCCGGAGUCCGCGCCCUCGUCGCUCCGGUCCUCCUCGGCGUCCGUGUCCAGGCGGGAUGGAUGCGGCGCCUCUUCCCGAUCUCCCCGGUGCCCGUAGCCUCGCCGGAGGCGGUCUGUGACGCCGGAGCUCGUCGCCGGAGCGCGCCGGUCCUCCUCUGCAUCGCGGGCGAGCGGGAGGAGGAAGAAGGAGCUAGGCCGGGCGGGCCCCAUCUCCACGCGGCCCCACCUGUCGGCGGGUAGGCGUUGACCCUGCCUGCCUAGUUAGAUAAGUGACGGGCCCCACAGCCCGUGGGACCCGCACGUCAGCUGCUCAAGCCCCUGCCCCGCCUCUGCCACGUGUUUAAGUGGAGGCGUACUCCGUUGACCCAGAAUGCGUUGUCUUAAUCAGGAAGCGUAUUUCUAAAUUUGCGCUUCUGCCUUAUCCACUCAGGGACUUGUUUGUGGUGAUAUUUUUACAGAAAAGUCCCUGAACUUCAACCCUUCAUAUCUUUUUAAACACAACUCCAAAUGAGCCCCUCCGAGAGAGAACUGUUUCUGGCAAAUCUUUUCGCGGCUUCACUGCACUCCUUCCCGGUGCCUUCUUCACCCCAGGCAAGCCACAAUACCCACUUGCAUGAUAGUCA